GACUCACGCAUCUGGUUCGCGCACAUUCCGAACAAAUGAGACAGUACCAAGGCCACAUUCCGUUCACUUUCCUUCCUGCUCCUCACCGCGUGUGUUCCUGACCCUGUGCUCGUAUUAUCGCUAAAUUCCCGCAUCAUCCUGCCUCUCCCAGCGAUGGUCGGCUGUUUUACGUGUAGUACAAAGAUGGCAGUGAGGGGGGGCAACACAGUGUUCAUUGAUGCCUCGGCACUUGGGGAGCUGACGAGCCAGCUGACGUCCCAAGACCUAGAGAGUCUGGUGGGCUUCAACAUCCAGCCGGCAGACUUGGAGGCUCUGCAGGAGGCAACUGAGGGUCAUGUGGUGGACACUCCUGGAGUGCUCAUCUCUGAUGGGGUGACAGUGGGCAACAUUGUGGAGGUGGAGGGUGGAGAGAGUGGAGUGCUGGAAGAGUCUCAGCAGCUGGACUCCCAUGCUCACCACCAGCCAAUGGAAGUGGACACCCUCACUGACCAUGACCAGGUCAUUGGUGAAAUGGACAUGCUGCAGCAGGGUGGUGAGCUGAUUGGCAUGGCAGGAGAGAUGUCCACAGGCGGUGAGGCUGCCACCACCUCGGCUCUGCUGGCUUCUGUGUCUUCGGGUGACUCCUCUUCCUCCCAGAUAGUUUCAGAGACGCCACAGCUCAUAAAGAGCAGCUUGGGCCAGUUUGUAGUUCUGCAGCAGAACCAGCAGAAUAACAUCUCUAUUGGUUCUAUGGCCAACCGAAUCAUCACAUCGGGCGGCCAGGUCGUGAGCACAGUGUCGGGCCCUAGCAGCAGCAACAACAGCAAGCCGGUGGUGGUGAACACAUCUCAGCUCAGUGGGGGAGUGAGGCAGCAGAUGGUGGUCACCUCGCAGGCCCACCCAGUGCGGACGGAGCAUCAAACCAGAUUCCUCCAGGAACCAUCAUCCCACACACCACAAAGCCACAGCCUUCUCGCACAAUCAUUGAUGCAAAUGGGAUCAGACCAAGAAAACCUUGCAACUGUAAAAAGAGCCAGUGUCUUAAAUUAUACUGUGAUUGCUUUGCAAAUGGAGAAUUUUGCAACAACUGUAAUUGUGCAAACUGUUUCAACAAUUUAAAUCAUAAGGAGGAUAGACAGAAAGCAAUCAAGACAUGUUUGGAUAGAAAUCCCCAAGCUUUCCGGCCAAAGAUUGGCAAAGGUGGAAGCGAUAAUGAAAGGAGACACAACAAAGGCUGCAACUGUAAGUGGUCUGGGUGCCUGAAGAACUACUGUGAAUGUUAUGAGGCCAAGAUCCCAUGCUCCAACAUGUGCAAGUGUGUGGGCUGCAAGAAUGUGGACAUGACACCAGCACCGGAGAGGAAGGGACUGAUGCAGCUGGCCGAAUGUGCUGAAGCACGGGUCAAUCAGCAGAAGGCCGUUAAAUCAAAAUUACCUUCAUUCUCACAUCACUCACCCAAUAAAAUGAUUCUUCCUACCACUUCAAAGUAAGCAUUACUUGAGUACUUCAAGACAAAUUUUAAACCUAAGAAAUGUUGGCCCACUUGUAGCAGGAAAAGAGCAUCUGAGGAGCCAUAGUAGUUUUUGCAGGAUAUCAAAGAAACCAUGAAGUUGCUUUGGUAAUAGAGCUAUUGAUUUAAUCUUUUCAUAAAUACCAUACAUCUCUUAAAAAUUCCAGUUUGUGGUAAGAUAACUAUAAGAUGACAUAUAGCACAUAACAAACAGUGAGAUAAACAGUCCUCAAGAAGAAUUUGUCACAAGUUUUUAUGAACACAAUGUCAUUUGGGGAAGAAAAUUCAAGCAGAAAAGAAAGAUUCUAGGCUCUAGAAUCUUUCUUUUCUGCUUGAAUUUUCUUCCCCAAAUGACAUUAUUUCAUUAUCGCUUCCACCUUUGCCAAUCUUUGGCCGGAAAGCUUGGGGAUUUCUAUCCAAACAUGUCUUGAUUGCUUUCUGUCUAUCCUCCUUAUGAUUUAAAUUGUUGAAACAGUUUGCACAAUUACAGUUGUUGCAAAAUUCUCCAUUUGCAAAGCAAUCACAGUAUCUAAGGAAGAAAGAAAAGGUCACUUAAGUACAUGCAAAAUAGCCUCCAUUUCGCCACAUGCUGACGAACCACCAAUGUGGGAAAACAGUUUACUCAUACAUUCUCAAAAUGGGUACCGGUGUAUUGAUAGGAAAGGACUCAAUGAGCUUUUUUGUAGUUCUGAUGUCAAGAAGGAAGGCAUGAAGAGGAUAUGGUGGAGGGGAGCUUUUUUAAAGUAAGCAAGAAUACUCACAAUUUAAGACACUGGCUCUUUGUACAGUUGCAAGGUUUUCUUGGUCUGAUCCCAUUUGCAUCAAUGAUUGUGCGAGAAGGCUGUGGCUUUGUGGUGUGUGGGAUGAUGGUUCCUGGAGGAAUCUGGUUUGAUGCUUGAAUUGUGCUGUUGCUUGUAGUGUUUGACUGAAGCUGUAACAUAGCAGAAUUUAAUUUAAACUUUAUCCUAUGUUAGGUAACAAUUUUGAAAUAUUU